UAGGGGUGGGAGCGGGCUGCAGCGCCGGAGGGUCCGCGAACUCGGGAAGGCUCUCCCCUUAGCUCCGAUAUCCCCACGGCCGGGGAGGCGGCUGGUUACUCAGGUGGAGAGUCCGUUUGCGGAGAGGAGUGGGGGCUUUCGCAGCUUUCUCAGCGCAGAGGAGAGGAUGAGGGAGGAAAGUUUCUGAGAAACCGCCCAGGCCGGCUGCGCGGCGGAGGCGCGGCCGCCCGGGCGCGGGAACUGCGCGCGACGACGGGGACAGUGCGGGGGCUGCACGUUACAGAUGAGGGAGCAACACUUGAUGGCCUUUUCGUCCCGAGGCACCAGCCAGCCCGACCCCGCAACUGCCGCGGCAGGCGGGCGCGGAACUGCGGCGCAGUUUGGGGAGACGACGGCGCAGUGGCUUGGGUAGCGGGGCAAGGGGUGGCGGGCGACGGCGGCCGCAUCCCCGCAAAGGGACGUUCACGGCGAAGGACGAGCUGAACUGCGGGAAGCCGAAGAGUCCAACCUGCUCAAAAAAAAAAAAAAAAAUCUUCGGGUCAAAAACUGUUCAAACUACUCUUUGAGAGCUCCUUUUGGGGUACGAUAAUGGAAAUGUAGCUAUUUGAGCGAAAAAAUUUAACCCAAAUUUAGAUUUUUACGAUUUACCCACUUACUAGAAUAAGUCCUAGAAGAAUUUACUAUUACACCUUAAACACAUUUUUUUUUUUGAGAACGUGGAAUUACAGGAAUCAUUUUAGUAAUCUGACUUUAAAAUGUCUUGUCAUACUUUUUUCCUUAGGUAAAAACUAUGUAUCUGCUGUAUGGCUAUGGAGACUCAAAACCCUCAGAUUUGGUUACUUAUAUUAGCCAGUUUUUGGUUGUGUAGAUUUUAACAAGGAAAUAUCCUUGUUUCUAAAUAUAGAAAUUGAAUUUUUGUAUGACCAGUUAAAUUUCAAAAAUAGCUACCUAGAGUGCACACCAAUUUCUUAAGGGCCCAUAUGUUUGAAUAUUUUAAACGAGAUUUAUACAUUAGAUGGUCCAAACAAUUGCCUUAAUUCCUCACACUUCUCAUGUGUAAAUACACAAUUUAGAGAAGUCACCAUGUUACUUUCAUUUUCAAUCCUGCAAAUGUGUCAGUCUACACUUAAGUAAGGAUUUUUUGGUUUUGACACAUUCAUAUCCUAGAAGAUAUAAAUAUUUUUACUAAUGCAGACUUUGACAAUCUUAUUCAUAUGAAAAUGUAGCUUUUCCAUUUUCACCUUCUAAAGUUUUGUCCACCCACACAGAGCUAAGUGUUUCCACGAAAAUAGUAACUGCUAACUACAUUCGGACUACAUAAAACAUCAUCUGAGUUGUGGGCCUGAAUUACCUAGAUAUUUGCCACUUCACAUUUACAUUUGUGUAAAUAUGACUAGAAUGCCAGGUCAAAUACCUUGUUUGGUAAAGCACAUUACAAUUUGACUCAAUGAAUAGCUAUGGAAGUUUUCUUUAUUGAUUACUUAAUGUGUAACAAUAAUUGGCAUCUUUUUCACACAUUACAAAAAAUUAUACUUGGCUCAGUAUGCAACCUUUUAAGCAUAGCCAUAUUAUU